rnacentral:rRNA from 1 species
AUUGAACGCUGGCGGCAGGCCUAACACAUGCAAGUCGAGCGGAGCGGCGGACGGGUGAGUAAUGCCUAGGAAUCUGCCUGGUAGUGGGGGAUAACGUCCGGAAACGGGCGCUAAUACCGCAUACUAUCAGAUGAGCCUAGGUCGGAUUAGCUAGUUGGUGGGGUAAAGGCCUACCAAGGCGACGAUCCGUAACUGGUCUGAGAGGAUGAUCAGUCACACUGGAACUGAGACACGGUCCAGACUCCUACGGGAUGCAGCAGUGGGGAAUAUUGGACAAUGGGCGAAAGCCUGAUCCAGCCAUGCCGCGUGUGUGAAGAAGGUCUUCGGAUUGUAAAGCACUUUAAGCGAGGAGGCGUUACUCGCAGAAUAAGCACCGGCUAACUCUGUGCCAGCAGCCGCGGUAAUUC